UGGCCGUGAUGACACAAAGGCCGGUCUUACGGCUGCUACUGCUCCUUGGGUUGGUAGUAGGAUGAUGUAAGUUGCUAUAAGGUGUUCGUGCUGAGCCAG
rnacentral:snoRNA from 1 species